rnacentral:rRNA from 1 species
UACGGAGGGUGCAAGCGUUAUCCGGAUUCACUGGGUUUAAAGGGAGCGUAGGAGGGCAGGUAAGUCAGUGGUGAAAUCUUCGAGCUUAACUCGGAAACUGCCGUUGAUACUAUCUGUCUUGAAUACCGUGGAGAUGAGCGGAAUAUGUCAUGUAGCGGUGAAAUGCUUAGAUAUGACAUAGAACACCAAUUGCGAAGGCAGCUCACUACACGAAUAUUGACACUGAGGCACGAAAGCGUGGGGAUCAAACAGG